GGAAGUAAAAGUCGUAACAAGGUCUCCGUAGGUGAACCUGCGGAGGGAUCAUUACACAAAUAUGAAGGCGGGCUGGAACCUCUCGGGGUUACAGCCUUGCUGAAUUAUUCACCCUUGUCUUUUGCGUACUUCUUGUUUCCUUGGUGGGUUCGCCCACCACUAGGACAAACAUAAACCUUUUGUAAUUGCAAUCAGCGUCAGUAACAAAUUAAUAAUUACAACUUUCAACAACGGAUCUCUUGGUUCUGGCAUCGAUGAAGAACGCAGCGAAAUGCGAUAAGUAGUGUGAAUUGCAGAAUUCAGUGAAUCAUCGAAUCUUUGAACGCACAUUGCGCCCUUUGGUAUUCCAAAGGGCAUGCCUGUUCGAGCGUCAUUUGUACCCUCAAGCUUUGCUUGGUGUUGGGCGUCUUGUCUCUAGCUUUGCUGGAGACUCGCCUUAAAGUAAUUGGCAGCCGGCCUACUGGUUUCGGAGCGCAGCACAAGUCGCACUCUCUAUCAGCAAAGGUCUAGCAUCCAUUAAGCCUUUUUUCAACUUUUGACCUCGGAUCAGGUAGGGAUACCCGCUGAACUUAAGCAUAUCAAUAAGCGGAGGAAAAGAAACCAACAGGGAUUGCCCUAGUAACGGCGAGUGAAGCGGCAACAGCUCAAAUUUGAAAUCUGGCUCUUUUAGAGUCCGAGUUGUAAUUUGCAGAGGGCGCUUUGGCUUUGGCAGCGGUCCAAGUUCCUUGGAACAGGACGUCACAGAGGGUGAGAAUCCCGUACGUGGUCGCUGGCUAUUGCCGUGUAAAGCCCCUUCGACGAGUCGAGUUGUUUGGGAAUGCAGCUCUAAAUGGGAGGUACAUUUCUUCUAAAGCUAAAUAUUGGCCAGAGACCGAUAGCGCACAAGUAGAGUGAUCGAAAGAUGAAAAGCACUUUGGAAAGAGAGUCAAACAGCACGUGAAAUUGUUGAAAGGGAAGCGCUUGCAGCCAGACUUGCUUACAGUUGCUCAUCCGGGUUUUUACCCGGUGCACUCUUCUGUAGGCAGGCCAGCAUCAGUUUGGGCGGUAGGAUAAAGGUCUCUGUCACGUACCUCCUUUCGGGGAGGCCUUAUAGGGGAGACGACAUACUACCAGCCUGGACUGAGGUCCGCGCAUCUGCUAGGAUGCUGGCGUAAUGGCUGU
rnacentral:rRNA from 1 species